GCCUUGCAUAGCUCAGUGGUAAAACACCUGCCAUGCAUGCAGAAGGCCCUGGGUUCAAUCCCCGGCAUCUCCAGUUAAGGCU